CCUACGGGAGGCAGCAGUGGGGAAUAUUGGACAAUGGGGGCAACCCUGAUCCAGCCAUGCCGCGUGUGUGAAGAAGGCCCUCGGGUUGUAAAGCACUUUCAGUGAGGAAGAACGCCUGGUGGUUAAUACCCAUCAGGAAAGACAUCACUCACAGAAGAAGCACCGGCUAACUCCGUGCCAGCAGCCGCGGUAAUACGGAGGGUGCGAGCAUUAAUCGGAAUUACUGGGCGUAAAGCGCGCGUAGGUGGCUUGAUAAGCCGGUUGUGAAAGCCCCGGGCUCAACCUGGGAACGGCAUCCGGAACUGUCAAGCUAGAGUGCAGGAGAGGAAGGUAGAAUUCCCGGUGUAGCGGUGAAAUGCGUAGAGAUCGGGAGGAAUACCAGUGGCGAAGGCGGCCUUCUGGACUGACACUGACACUGAGGUGCGAAAGCGUGGGUAGCAAACAGGAUUAGAUACCCGGGUAGUC
rnacentral:rRNA from 1 species